ensembl:antisense Gm11586 predicted gene 11586
ACUCAGCCGACUGAACCCCUAACUGCUUCCACGAUUCACAGUUAGGCAUGCUGAGACCUACGACGUACUAUUGAACAGUCACCAUCUCCUGACAGUGACACGACGACACCGGGAUCGGCUUACCUCCAUGACGGCGAAGGGCUUGUCCACCGAAUGGUAGCAGGUCUGGAAUUGCGUGAGCCAGUGGCGUGCUUCCCCCGGGCUGGCACCACACUGGUUCAGGAAGGCCUGGAUGUCCCGCUGCACCAGUGAUCUGCCGGCGGGAGGCGCAGGGGAUUCGAGGGGCGUUGGAAGCGGUGUCCACGACGGCUCCUCGACCGCAGGAGACUGGACACGACCCUUAGCGCCCUCGGCGUCCUCUGCGUGAGCCCUGGCGGUGCUGAGCCGGCGUCCCGGGCUGGCGCUCUUUGCCCCGCGCCGCCGCGCGCUGCCACUCAGUCUCCGUGAGCCCCCAGGACCUCCCGGGCUGCGCAACCUUCUGGCCGCUGCAGCAGACCGCAGGGCUGUGGCCACCCACGCCGUCGCCAUGACGACAACCAAACCCACUCGUCCCCCCCACCCACAGG